rnacentral:rRNA from 1 species
GAGUUUGAUCCUGGCUCAGAGUGAACGCUGGCGGCGUGCCUAAUACAUGCAAGUCGAACGAUGAAGCUCUAGCUUGCUAGAGUGGAUUAGUGGCGCACGGGUGAGUAAUGCAUAGAUAACAUGCCCUUUAGUCUAGGAUAGCCAUUGGAAACGAUGAUUAAUACUGGAUACUCCUUACGAGGGAAAGUUUUUCGCUAAAGGAUUGGUCUAUGUCCUAUCAGCUUGUUGGUGAGGUAAUGGCUCACCAAGGCUAUGACGGGUAUCCGGCCUGAGAGGGUGAACGGACACACUGGAACUGAGACACGGUCCAGACUCCUACGGGAGGCAGCAGUAGGGAAUAUUGCUCAAUGGGGGAAACCCUGAAGCAGCAACGCCGCGUGGAGGAUGAAGGUUUUCGGAUUGUAAACUCCUUUUGUUAGAGAAGAUAAUGACGGUAUCUAACGAAUAAGCCCCGGCUAACUCCGUGCCAGCAGCCGCGGUAAUACGGAGGGUGCAAGCGUUACUCGGAAUCACUGGGCGUAAAGAGCGCGUAGGCGGGAUAGCAAGUCAGAUGUGAAAUCCUAUGGCUUAACCAUAGAACUGCAUUUGAAACUGUUAUUCUAGAGUAUGGGAGAGGUAGGUGGAAUUCUUGGUGUAGGGGUAAAAUCCGUAGAGAUCAAGAGGAAUACUCAUUGCGAAGGCGACCUGCUAGAACAUAACUGACGCUGAUGCGCGAAAGCGUGGGGAGCAAACAGGAUUAGAUACCCUGGUAGUCCACGCCCUAAACGAUGAAUGCUAGUUGUUGUGGAGCUUGUCUCUGCAGUAAUGCAGCUAACGCAUUAAGCAUUCCGCCUGGGGAGUACGGUCGCAAGAUUAAAACUCAAAGGAAUAGACGGGGACCCGCACAAGCGGUGGAGCAUGUGGUUUAAUUCGAAGAUACACGAAGAACCUUACCUAGGCUUGACAUUGAUAGAAUCCGCUAGAGAUAGUGGAGUGCUAGCUUGCUAGAACUUGAAAACAGGUGCUGCACGGCUGUCGUCAGCUCGUGUCGUGAGAUGUUGGGUUAAGUCCCGCAACGAGCGCAMCCCUCGUCCUUAGUUGCUAACUAUYCGGUAGAGCACUCUAAGGAGACUGCCUUCGCAGGGAGGAGGAAGGUGAGGAUGACGUCAAGUCAUCAUGGCCCUUACGCCUAGGGCUACACACGUGCUACAAUGGGAAGCACAAAGAGAUGCAAUAUUGUGAAAUGGAGCAAAUCUAUAAAACUUCUCUCAGUUCGGAUUGUAGUCUGCAACUCGACUACAUGAAGCUGGAAUCGCUAGUAAUCGUAAAUCAGCUAUGUUACGGUGAAUACGUUCCCGGGUCUUGUACUCACCGCCCGUCACACCAUGGGAGUUGAAUUCGCCUUAAGUCGGAAUGCCAAACUGGCUACCGCCCACGGCGGAUGCAGCGACUGGGGUGAAGUCGUAACAAGGUAACCGUAGGUGAACCUGC